rnacentral:rRNA from 1 species
UAGUCCCUACGGGGGGCAGCAGUCGGGAAUAUUGCGCAAUGGAGGAAACUCUGACGCAGUGACGCCGCGUAUAGGAAGAAGGUUUUCGGAUUGUAAACUAUUGUCGUUAGGGGAGAAAAAAGACAGUACCUAAGGAGGAAGCUCCGGCUGACUACGUGCCAGCAGCCGCGGUAAUACGUAGGGAGCAAGCGUUAUCCGGAAUUAUUGGGUGUAAAGGGUGCGUAGACGGGAGUCUAAGAUAGUUGUGAAAUCCCUGGGCUCAAGUGAGGAACUGCGACUAAAACUGGACAUCUUGAGUG